rnacentral:rRNA from 1 species
GCAGUAGCCACGGGAAUACGUAGGUGGCAAGCGUUGUCCGGAUUUACUGGGCGUAAAGCGAACGCAGGCGGACUGUUAAGUAGGAAGUGAAAGGUCGGAGCUCAACUCCAACAUUGCUUCCUAUACUGGCAGUCUUGAGUAGCGGAGAGGAAGGGGGAACGACAUGUGUAGCGGUGAAAUGCGUUGAUAUGUGUCGGAACACCCAUGGCGAAAGCACCCUUCUGGACGCAAACUGACGCUCAGGUUCGAAAGCCAAGGUAGCGAACAGGAUUAGAUACCCCCGUAGUCCCUGUCUCUUAUAC